rnacentral:rRNA from 1 species
AGAGUUUGAUCCUGGCUCAGGAUGAACGCUGGCGGCAUGCCUAAGACAUGCAAGUCGAACGGAGCGAACUUAUGAAAAUGGAGUGCUUGCACAAAGUUGGAAUUUGACCUCGCUUAGUGGCGAAAGGGUGAGUAACACGUGGGAAUCUGCCUUUAAGACUGGGACAACAGUUGGAAACGACUGCUAAUACCGGAUGAUAUAUAAGAUGAUACGUUAUCUUAUAUUAAAAGAAGCCUUUAAAGCUUCACUUAAAGAUGAGCCUGCGGCGUAUUAGCUAGUUGGUAAGGUAAUGGCUUACCAAGGCGACGAUGCGUAGCCGAACUGAGAGGUUGAUCGGCCACAUUGGGACUGAGACACGGCCCAAACUCCUAUGGGAGACAGCAGUUAGGAAUAUUCGUCAAUGGGGGAAACCCUGAACGAGCAAUGCCGCGUGAGUGAUGACGGUCCUUUGGAUUGUAAAACUCUUUUAUUAGGGACGAACGACUAGUAUAGGAAAUGAUACUAGAGUGACGGUACCUUUUGAAUAAGCCCCGGCUAACUACGUGCCAGCAGCCGCGGUAAUACGUAGGGGGCGAGCGUUAUCCGGAUUUAUUGGGUGUAAAGCGUGUGUAGGCGGUUUUUUAAGUCUAAGGUUUAAGCCCGGAGCUCAACUCCGGUACGCCUUAGAAACUGAUUUACUUGAGUGUGGUAGAGGCAAAUGGAAUUUCUAGUGUAGCGGUAGAAUGCGUAGAUAUUAGAAGGAACACCGGUGGCGAAGGCGAUUUGCUGGGCCAUUACUGACGCUGAGACACGAAAGCGUGGGGAGCAAAUAGGAUUAGAUACCCUAGUAGUCCACGCCGUAAACGAUGGAUACUAAGUGUUGGGGUUACCCAGUGCUGAAGUUAACACAUUAAGUAUCCCACCUGAGUAGUACGGUCGCAAGGCUGAAACU